GAACCCUUGGCACAGUGGUAGCGCGUGAGAUUCCAGCUCAGUCAUGGAACAUCCUCAAGGUCGUCCGUUCAAUCCGGGCAGGGUUCA